GACGAACGCUGGCGGCGCGCUUAACACAUGCAAGUCGAACGGAAAGGCCUGCUUUCCCUUGUGGAUUGCGGGUACUCGAGUGGCGAACGGGUGAGUAACACGUGAGUGAUCUGCCCCCAACUUGGGUAUAAGCCUGGGAAACUGGGUCUAAUUCCCGAUAGGACUGCAGGGUGGUGCCUGUGGUGGAAAACGAUUUUCUAGUGGUUGGGGAUGAGCUCGCGGCCUAUCAGCUUGUUGGUGGGGUAAUGGCCUACCAAGGCGGCGACGGGUAGCCGGCCUGAGAGGGUGGACGGCCACAUUGGGACUGAGAUACGGCCCAGACUCCUACGGGAGGCAGCAGUGGGGAAUAUUGCACAAUGGGCGGAAGCCUGAUGCAGCGACGCCGCGUGGGGGAGGACGGCCUUCGGGUUGUAAACUCCUUUCGACCGCGAGGAAGCCACCUGGUUGGAAGGGUGGUGACGGUAGGGGUAGAAGAAGCACCGGCUAACUACGUGC
rnacentral:rRNA from 1 species